rnacentral:miRNA from 1 species
ACGAGCAAAGUUUCCUCGUGCC